rnacentral:lncRNA from 1 species
AUCAUGUGAGUAUUUGCAAUUGGAAGUGAAAAGUUUGGGGUAGAAAUUGUCAGCUUUGAUUGCCAUGAGAUUUAGUUCCUCUUCUUCAGAAAUAGAUGAAAUAAGUUUUCAUCAAGUAUCCAGUAAGAGCCAGGAAUUCAUGUAGCUGAGGGAAACGUAAAGAUUAAUAAAGAUGAUUUGUGUGCUCAAGGAAGGUCAGGCUGGUGACAGACUCUCAUAUCUUUAGAACCGGUAGAAUAAAUCUUCUGUUAGGAGUCUGAGUCAGGCAUUAUCAGAACCCAGAGGAGGACAGAGUUCUCCCCAGGUGAGGGAAGCUGGAAGGACUUCAGAGAGAAGGAUGUAUUUGAAUUGAUCUUAAAAGAAUGAUAGACUGCUAAUGCAGCUAACCAGGCUUUUCUAAAGAGUCAAAUUAUUUUUGUAGUUAGGGCUUAAUAGGAGUAAUAAUGCUAUAAAGGGAGAAAAAGCACCCACUGAAGCAAACCUGUUCUCUUUUCACGUAGGUGUCAUACUUGGCAUAUGUUGGUCUAGAAACAACUUGAUGAUUUGCUCACUGCUGCAGACUCUGCCCAACAUCACACAGCAAACGGAGUCUUGAAAUUUGAGUGUGGGUUGAAUGUUCAUAAAUAAAUUGUGUUUCCCUUUAUCUUACAUUUAAUUAAAGAGGUGAUGUGCUUUCUGAUUACCCUGUAUUUGGCAGGGGUAGCUAUUCCUUUAACUCUGUUUUCCUGCCCUAUAGCUUCCUUCUCCAGUAGUUAAUCACCAGCAUCCUUAGACUAAGUUACUAGAGGGUGAUGCGGUUUUAAAAAAAAAAAAAAAAAAAAGUCAGUGAGCAGGAAAGGAUUAUGGCGCAAAUCAUUUGCUCCCUAGUUCCUUUGGAUAGAAAGGUCAGUUUUCUCAUUUUGAAUUUUCAUAAAACUGGGCAAAUUAACAGCCCCCCCUGUCCAAUAUGUCAACAACCUGUUAUAUUUGAAAUUACUCUUUAAAAUGAGGUGUAAAACUGCAGUACACUUCCUCCCUGUCAGUUAAUUGACUUGCUACCCUCCUGCCAAGAUGUGUCCAUUUUAAAAAUGAUUGCUUUGAACAUUCAUCGAAAAGCAUAUAGCAAAUUAUACUCUGGCAGAGACACAAAGGCUAAUAUUUGGAGCUGAGUGCUCAUUCACUCAGGGUUUAUCACACUGAAGGCAGAACGAGUGCAGCUGGUUUUCUCUCAGAGAAAUGUUUCCUUGGGCAAAGAGUUGUUGGUCUUAGUUCUGUGUGGUCCCCCACUAUACACAUUGUGGCGAUAUGUUCACAUAAAGCAGUAGUCCUCAUGGGGCACCCUCAGCAAUAUCAGCGUAUCACAUGAUCCCCUCACCUGAAGACUGGGUUGGGUGAGGCCCCAGGCUAUAUAAAAUCCUAACUAAGUCUCAAUUCUGCGGUUAUAAGAGACCGCGAGGGGGUCCCUGGUCUCUUCCCAGCAUGUCACCCUCUGCCGAAGGCUCACGCCUAAACAGCGCAAGUAGGAAACACUCUCUCCCCACCUGACCCCCCAACUGCAGGAGAGAGCCGUGGGUGAUGACACCAAAACCCAGGUCAGGUUGCUGAGUUCCGGGGCCAGGGUCAUCCCAAAUCACUGUUUCCCUAACUUUAGAAGGAGGGGGUUGGCCGUGGAUGCAUUCUUAAUACAUUCUUUGAUUUCCAAAAGAGAACAACGAGUUUUCAUCAUCUCUCUUAGUGAGUCUUUCACAUCUUGAAAUGAUGAUGCUGGACCAGUACUCAAGAUUGUUGUUGAGGAGUUCCCAUUGUGGUGCAGUGGAAACAAAUCCGACUAGGAACCAUGAGGUUUCGGGUUCGAUCCCUAGCCUCGUUCAGUGGGUUAAGGAUCCGGCGUUGCCGGGAGCUGUGGUAUAGGUCGCAGACGAGGCUCGGAGCUGGCAUUGCUGUGGUUGUGGUGUAGGCUGAUGGCUACAGCUCCAAUUAGACCCCUAGCCUGGGAACCUCCACAUACCUCGGGUGCAGCCCUAGAAAAGACCAAAAAAAAAGAUUGUUGCUGAUGUGAAGAGUUAGUUUGACCACUGAGCAAUGUCCCUUCCAGCUUUGUGACAUUUGCAUGAAUUCUGUCCUAGGCUCACGCCCACACCCUUAAGAGGCUCUGAUGAUGUUGUUUUUUUGUUACAGGUAAGAUGUUAGAUAAAAUACUUACAAACCACCCCUCCGUCUUUAUGAAGCAAUUCAUGUGCAUAUACACUGCUGAAAUAUAGCACACUGCAUUCAAUUACAUCAAGUAUGACAUCUUUGUUUUUUUCAUCUUUUUGCCAGUUAGCAAGCAUUAACAAUAAAGUCGAUGAGUUCAGCUACUCCUUGGUGGUAGAGUGUAGCUUGGAUUUCUUCUUCCCAUUUUUUUUUUUUUUUUUUUUUUUUUGUUUUUUUUUUUUUUUUUUUUUUUUUUUGGCUGCACUCAUGGCAUUUAGAAGUUUCAAGCCAGGGAUCAAACCCAUGUCACAGCAGGUACCUGAGUCACAGCAGUGACAACAGUGGAUCCUUAAUCCUCUGAGCCAUCAGGGAACUCCUGAAUUUCUUCUUUUUGAUGAUACUCAAGGGUAAUCCUGGCAUGCCCCCUCUCAUUUCCAUUGUAAAGGAAUAUUUCUUUGGACUACAAACCACAACAUAUAGUUCUCUUUAUUCUGCUGAAGGGAAAUGGGUGAGAUUGCCAGAAUUCUAUGGGAAUUAUAGGGUUUUCAAAUCAUUGUGGAGAAAAUUACUGAGGUUCAGUGUCAAUGGAAAAAGCAUAUUCUUAAUUUGCCUGUCAUUUUUCUUUUAAUUGGUACUUUGGUUCUACUUUCAAAGCACGUUGGAAGCUUUCUUUUCCAAUUUGGCGUCAACAUUAUUUUUUUUAAAUGCCAUUUCAUUUUAGGAUUACUUUAUAUUUCGAUUGACAUAAAACAUACCAUUUUGAAGGGAAAAAUAUUAACACAUUUUUAGGUAAGGAACUCAGUUAAAUUGAGCUCUGUAAUCACGUUCCUAGGAAUGCAGUUUAGUGGUUAUAGAUAUUGAGAAAACCUCACAGUAUAACCAACAAGCUUAUCUGAAUCCUGGUUGAGAUUCCAGAUCGUAAGUGCUAAUUUCAGUCCUAACAACCAUUUCACUAGUGAACACUGACCUUUCACCAAAAGAUUAAGGAAAAGGGAUCAUGCAGUUGUACACACAUAGGCCCUUUUAACAAAUUUUUCCUCUGUGCAUAGCUCAUUCUAACAAUACGUAUAUUUCUUGACCUCCCUCCCUCAACCUCUUCAUUUUAAUCAUUUCAUUAAAAAUAUGAGCUGGGAGUUCCUGCUGUGGCGCAACAAUGAGUUGUUGCUGCAGCUGGGGUGUAGGUUGCAGCUGCUGCUUGGAUUUGACCCUGGGCCUGGGAACAUGCCGUGGAUGUGGUCGGAAAAAAAAAAACAUGGCCUGGCCACAUACAGGAUAAAAUAGCACUCAUUGUCAGGUUUAUGUAGAACCCUUCUCCUUUGUAGGCUGGUCACAAGAAGCACAGGGAAAUUAAAGCCUGUGGAGGUACUCAGAAGAGCAGGCAGGAUGGUGGGAGAGGCUCUGGGCUGGGCAGGCAUUUCUCCACUCUCACUCAUAUGUCAAGCAGCAAUGACGUGAGAAGGUCCCUCAGGCCUCCUUCUCCCUUCUCUCUGCAUGAUCAGGGUCCCACUCCUGUAACAAAUGGCAGUGUGUUGAUGCAGUAAAAUUAGAUAAAAAGGACUCAUCAGGAAAGUCACCACUCAAGGAUGGCAGUGAGGCUCACUGCAGACACUGGCUAGUGACAGGAACCCCAACUGGGAAGCAAGAGGGCUCUGCUCUAGCCUUGUCCUUUUUAUAACUCCAUACAUGACCUUGGUCACUUAAUUUCUUUGGCCCCGGUAAAUCUCAUCUGUUGGAAAAAAGUGUUCUAGCUGCACCGAUGAUGAAAUGAUGCCUGAAGUUUCUUUCAACUCUGAAAGUCCUUGAAGGAGGGACAAUUGAGAAGCAUUUAAAUUCCUGAAGUCACAUUCUUAGAAGCCCUACCUUCACCAAGCCACUCUGUCAUUGUUGAGGAUAAAAUACAGAGGUUGCUUGUCAAAUUCUAGUCAAGUAGAAUGUACAUACACAAAAUUUAGCCACCCUUAGUCAACUUAAGAUAGCUGUUAAAAUAGUAACAGAUUUAUUUAAUAAUUGUCUGAAAGGUUUUACUUAAAUUUCUUUCAAGGUAACCAUUAACAGCCAUGAUGGCAUUUUGGCAGAGAUCUGUUUCUACAUACUCUUUAAUAAUCCCUGUGAAAUAAAUCAUGUUGAAGAGAUUUUUUUUUCUCCUGAUGAGUUAUUUGCUUGAAGGAAAAAUUCUUAAAUGCGUGCUAGAAUAAAGUGUCUUUUGAAAAGUCUUAAUGAAAAGAGCAAACAUGAGGAUAACUUCCACCCCAGUUCUUUUUCUGGGAUCCAGGCUCUGAAAAUGAGGUCUCUGACAGUGAGAAGAAUGUCAGGGGACUCCUACUCCACACCCUUCUGCCCCUUAGACAGCUGGCCCCUUGACUAUUCAUGGAGAGUAGCCUUUGGGAAGGAAAAAAAACAUUAAAAACUAGUUCAUUUUCUACAAGUUAUCGUAGCCACAAUAAAUACAUGAGAGAGAAGAUGGCCUUUUCCAUGUGAAAUACCUCUUCCCUUUGCCCAGUUCAUAAGAGAGAGUAAGAACUAUGUUUAGAGACUGAUAGAGUUUCCCGUGGUUACUAUCAAGAGAUCAGACUCAUAUUAACGUUCGCUCAAAAGGGGAACAGGGAAGAACAUUUGAAAAAGAAACAUUAAAUUAAAUAUUAUUCUCUCAUUCAUUCCUCUUUCUGUAGGGAUGUUCUUGGAGUGUCCAUGUUCAGCCUUAACAGUCUUCAUUGAAGCAAAAAAUACCCUUGCUACUCUCAUGUCACAGUUGUUUUUCAUUUCCCCCUUUUGGAAUACAUGAGGCAAACGACGUGGCAGACUCUCUCACGUCCAGCUCACUGUCCCAGCACAGUGAGGAUCCCUCAGAGAGGAGGUCUUUUGCUUCCUUUUAUGUGCAACUGUCCCCCACCACAUCCUUCAUAAGAAUCCUAGGUUAUCCCAUGGUCAAUCCCCUUUUCCCAUCUCAAUUCGAGAAAAUGGAUAAUACUAUCAAACAUAAACAUUGAAGAGCCGGAGCCCAACUAGACCAGACAUUUAGUUCAGUGAAAUUUUCCAGUACAAUACCAAGCAAAAAUAUAUACCUUAAACCAACAAAAAAACAACAGAAAUCUCAUAGAUAAUAAGGUAAUGUUUUCUGUUCCACAUCCUACCAGGUCAUUCUAACAGCACACAUUUAUAUGAACUUAUUUUAUCCUAAUUACUGGAAACGUUGGAGUCAGGGGAAGACCUGAGGUGACUGAUACUUAUUUUCAGAUUGGUCCAGUACUAUUUGAUACUUUGGGGGAAUAAUGGGUGUUUUCUAGGACCUAGUGAUAAGGAAAUUCAACUCUUGCUUACUUUAAAGAACUUGGAUAUAGGAGUUCCUAUUGCGGCUCAGUGGGUUAAGAAUCUCAUAUAGUGUCCUUGAAGAUGUGGGUUGGAUCCCUGGCCUUGUCCAGUGGGUUAAGGAUCUGGCGUUGCUGUGAGCUGUGGUGUAGGUGACAGAUGCUGCUCGGAUCCUGUGUUACUGUGGCUGUGGCGUAGGCUGGCAGCUGUAGCUCCCAUUCGACUCCUAGCCCUGGAAUCUCCAUAUGCCUCUGAUGUGGCCCUGAAAAAGCAAAAUAAAAUAAACAAUAAAUUAAAAGUUGGAUAUAGAUGUGACAUAGCGGUACCCAAAUCAGAUGACAGUGGUUCCAACUGUGCUAAAUAACUUAGUCUGUAUUAAGAGGAUUUGUCUGUCUUCGUUCUAACAACCAAGUUAUUGAAACUGAGCUUUCCAUUAAAAAUAAGUCUUGAAGAGCAGGGGCAGUGUGGUGGCAGCUGCAUAAUCCCUCUGUUCCUGAGUGGAGGCAGUGGCCUAGCAUUUCAUAUUGCUUGAGUUAAAGAUCAGCUUUGCAAAGAGAGCACAUAUUAGUCUUAGUUCGCAGAAUGGAUGAGAUUAGAUUUGAGGUUUUGAAGUCUUCCCUCUCCAAUGAGUACGAAUAGAUACUUGUGAAAUCCUCAUUUGGAGGAAGCCUGUUUUGCAGGCAGUUAAGAUGUGUAACCUUUUUUUAAGGUGAAAAUAUACAUUAUGUUUAGCACUGUACUUCAUGCCUCAGGGAAGCUUAUCUAAGGCAUAUAGACAUAUUUGGUCCAUAAAGCACAUCACAGCCUUCUUGCACUAAGGAAUAGAAGACAGCACUUCAGCACACUUGGGGCCCAUUCUAAAUAGUGAACACACACACAAACACAAAGAGCAAAAAUUGUGGCACUAUGUAGCCUGCAAAAAGGUCACUUUUUAAAAGUAUGAGCUGAGGAGUUCCCGUUGUGGCGCAGUGGAAACAAAUCUGACUAGGAACCAGCAGGUUGCGGGUUCAAUCCCUGGCCCCAGUGGGUUAAAGAUCCUGUGCUGCCGUGAGCUGUGAUGUAGGUCUCAGACCCGUCUCGGAUCUGACGUUGCUGUGGCUCUGGUGUAGGCCUGCAGCUGUAGCUCUGAUUCGACCCCUAGCCUGGGAACCUCCAUAUGCCUCAGGUGCGGCCCAAAAGAGCAAAAUAAAUAAAUAAAUAUCGUACAAUUUUGUCAAUUAUACUUCAAUGAAAAAAACUUUUUUUGACCAAGAGGAAAAAAAUGCAAGUGAACUUGAUGCUGCUGGCUUGGUUGACUCUAGCAUCAGUGUACCUGGUUGCUAAUAGAAUUUUCCAAAGUAGAGUUUGGUCACUAUUAUGGCUACAGGAAUCCCGGCCAUCACUUCUGCCUUCUUCGCGUCUUUGACAGAUAUUCUUUUCUAAACUGUCCUCCUAGAUCCCACCCUCCAGUGAACUUGGCAGCGUUGUCCUGAACACAGGAGGUAAGGCAGGCCACUUCUCUUUCUGCCCAGGCCUGCUCAGAAUAUGAACGAGGAGGGGAAUUUAAUUUGUAAAUUCAACAACAGCUUGAGCACUGUUGAUUUUGCUGCCUCUUUAGCAAAAGUGUCAUUGAAUUGGGCUGCAAGGUCAUUGGAAUCAAUGCUCUUUCACUUCAGAUCAUUUUAUGUGUUAUUAUUCUAAUAAUAGUACAAAUGGUGUUAGAUGCCUUUUGCUGACCCUCCAUCUUCCUGAUGUCAUUAAAGAGAAUGCACAAACGCAAAAGGAUUAUGUGGCAUUUCAGCUCUGAUGUCCUCUGAAAAAGGAAGAUCUUUCAGAAAUGUACAAGCCAAAACAACUUAUGAUUUCAUCUAGUCUUUUUUUUCAGGGCCGCAUCUGUGGCAUAUGGAGGUUCCCAGGCUAGAGGUUGAAUCGGAGCUGCAGCUGCUGGCCUACGCCACAGCCACAGCAAUGCAGGAUCCUUGCCCCACUGAGCGAGGCCCAGAAUGGAACCCACGUCCUCGUGGAUGCUAGUUGGGUUCGCUUCUGCUGUGCCACAACAGGAGCUCCGAUCCCAUCUAGUUCUGCCUGGUUUGAGGGCGUCCUUUCCUAUUCCUGAGGUUGCUGCUAAAUCCUGUGUCUCUCUCUGGGUGUGAAUUUUGCAAAAACUUUCAAAUCAGUAGUCAAAUGUUUUAUCCACUUACAGUCCCACCCCUGGUUUUGAAGAUGAGCGAUUCUUGCUUUGCUCAAACCAGGUCUUAGCUCUGACAUGACGAAGAGGUGGCAACUUUGCAAAUCCAGGCUAUGUCAGUUACUGAGCCUGGAUUUGUUACUUCCAGAGAAUGGCUUUUUCUGGAUUGCUGAACUGGAUUCCAAUAAUCUAGACGUUUCUGAGGGAAGCCCUGGAGUGGUUCCCACAUGCAGUGGGAGGAGGGCUGUGGCAGGUUGUCCUUCUAGAUCAAAGCCUCAUAUUCCAAUUGGGAGAGAUGCUGCCCUGGGUGGCUUCUGAAUAGAAGGUCAGGAGCCUGCCUGCUGUCUGUGUUUCAUCUCUGAUGCCCCCUCACCUGAAGUGGACUAGAGCCAGCCAGCACCCAGGUCUUGAGCUCAGGGUGCCCCCGUGCCCCCGUAAAACAAGUGUGUGCUGGCUUUGCUUUGUGAUGCCUGCAGAUGGCAAAGCCAUGAUUUGUGCCUUUUGUCCUGUGGAGGCGUGGUCUUGGCAGCCCCAGGGAGGGGUCAGGAUGUUUUAAAGCAUGGUGACGCCUUAGGCUGGGUGUGAAAACCAGAGGAGAAGCAUGAACCACUUUGAGAAGGGCCAUCGACACUGUGGAAAAGCAUAUUCAAGGGAUUUCCCCUAGUGGCUCAGUGGAAACGAAUCCGACUAUAACCACGAGGUUGCGGGUUCUAUCCCUGGCCUCACCCAGUGGGUUAAGGAUCCGCCAUUGCCCUGAGCUGGGGUAUAGGUUGCAGAUGCGGCUCGGAUCCUGUGUGGCUGUGGUGUAGGCUGGCAGCUGUAGCUCCAAUUCGACCUCUAGCCUGGGAACUUCCACAUGCAUGCAGCCCUAUAAAGCAAAAAGCAAAAAGCAAAAAAAAAAAAAAAAAA